GACGAACGCUGGCGGCGUGCCUAAUACAUGCAAGUAGAACGCACAGUUUAUACCGUAGCUUGCUACACCAUAAACUGUGAGUUGCGAACGGGUGAGUAACGCGUAGGUAACCUGCCUGGUAGCGGGGGAUAACUAUUGGAAACGAUAGCUAAUACCGCAUAAUAUUGAUUAUUGCAUGAUAAUUGAUUGAAAGAUGCUAUUGCAUCACUACCAGAUGGACCUGCGUUGUAUUAGCUAGUAGGUGAGGUAACGGCUCACCUAGGCGACGAUACAUAGCCGACCUGAGAGGGUGAUCGGCCACACUGGGACUGAGACACGGCCCAGACUCCUACGGGAGGCAGCAGUAGGGAAUCUUCGGCAAUGGACGAAAGUCUGACCGAGCAACGCCGCGUGAGUGAAGAAGGUUUUCGGAUCGUAAAGCUCCGUUGUAAGAGAAGAACGGGUGUGAGAGUGGAAAGUUCACACUGUGACGGUAUCUUACCAGAAAGGGACGGCUAACUACGUG
rnacentral:rRNA from 1 species